rnacentral:rRNA from 1 species
GCGCACCAGGCGAGAAUCUUCGGCAAUGGGGGAAACCCUGACCGAGCGACGCCGCGUGUGGGAUGAAGGCCCUUGGGUUGUAAACCACUGUCAGAGGGGAUGAAAUGCCGGAAAGUUAUCUCUCCGGUUUGACAUAGCCUCAGAGGAAGCACGGGCUAAGUUCGUGCCAGCAGCCGCGGUAAGACGAACUGUGCAAACGUUAUUCGGAAUCACUGGGCUUGAAGGGUGCGUAGGCGGUUUCGUAAGUAGGGUGUGAAAGCCCCCGGCUCAACCGGGGAAUUGCGUCCUAAACUGCGAGGCUGGAGUGAGGUAGGGGUGUGUGGAACUUCCAGUGGAGCGGCGAAAUGUGUUGAUAUUGGAAGGAACGCCGGUGGCGAAAGCGACACACUGGACCUUGUCUGACGCUGAGGCACGAAAGCCAGGGGAGCAAACGGGAUUAGAUACCCGCGUAGU